UGGCGUUGUCUCGUAGAGGUCCAGAUCUCUCCUGUUGGCAACUCGAAAUCUCUACGAGAUAACAGUU
rfam:Gallid herpesvirus 2 serotype 1 isolate Md5, complete genome.